GGCCGCGUCGACCGAUCAGCCACACUGGGACUGAGACACGGCCCAGACUCCUACGGGAGGCAGCAGUGGGGAAUUUUCCGCAAUGGGCGAAAGCCUGACGGAGCAAGACCGCGUGGGGGAAGAAGGCUCUUGGGUUGUAAACCCCUUUUCUCUGGGAAGAAAGUUGUGAAAGCAACCUGACGGUACCAGAGGAAUCAGCAUCGGCUAACUCCGUGCCAGCAGCCGCGGUAAUACGGAGGAUGCGAGCGUUAUCCGGAUUUAUUGGGUUUAAAGGGUGCGUAGGUGGUCUUUUAAGUCAGCGGUGAAAGUUUGUGGCUCAACCAUAAAAUUGCCAUUGAAACUGGGAGACUUGAGUAUGUUUGAGGUAGGCGGAAUGCGUGGUGUAGCGGUGAAAUGCAUAGAUAUCACGCAGAACUCCGAUUGCGAAGGCAGCUUGCCAAGCCAUAACUGACACUGAAGCACGAAAGCGUGGGUAUCAAACAGGAUUAGAUACCCUGGUAGUCCACGCAGUAAACGAUGAUUACUAGGAGUUUGCGGGACCG
rnacentral:rRNA from 1 species